rnacentral:lncRNA from 1 species
GGGGUUAUGCUGGAGGUGAACGGAGAUAAUGCAGGCCUGGCAUGUGUGGUGGGCUUGUCAAGUGUGUUGAAUCGUUUUGGGAUUUUGUUUGCUGCGUGUUUGCUUGCUCUGGGAUUUCAUCUGGGAUCCUGCAGGAAGUCAUCCUCUCUCCUUAGGGACUUAGUAUGCUGCAUUAAUAAUGAAAACACUUUGUGAAGAAAUGCUGUGCUGAGAACCAAGCUUAGUGCCCUGCGAAGACCACUGGACCAGAAAGCAGAAGACUGGAGUUGUAGCUGAGGUCUGCAACAGGAUGGAGACACACACAGCAGUCUGUUUGGCUUCUCUGAGCUCAUGUCUCUCCUGGGUUAGAUCACAGGAUUUUAUGAUGCUCGUCAGCAUCAAAAUCCUGUGCAUCUUUGUUUUUUAACCUCACAGUAUCCAUGUAAAAGUUACUGGCUAAGAAAUCAUAUUUGCAUUGGAAGUGGAAAGCCUAAAUUACAUGCCCAAAAGCAACAGGAAAAUAAAUUAUAACUUAACAAGAAUUAGGUUUGAUUUCUUCCCAAGUUCUAAUUUUCUGUUACUCUGGUAGGAGAGUGAUAUCUAGGGAUCACGGAUUCUCAGGGGUAUAUGGCACCCAACAAUUCAACUCAAUUC